GACGAACGCUGGCGGCGUGCUUAACACAUGCAAGUCGAACGGAAGGGCCUGCUUUCCCUUGUGGAUUGCGGGUACUCGAGUGGCGAACGGGUGAGUAACACGUGAGUGAUCUGCCCCCAACUUGGGUAUAAGCCUGGGAAACUGGGUCUAAUUCCCGAUAGGACUGCAGGGUGGUGCCUGUGGUGGAAAACGAUUUUCUAGUGGUUGGGGAUGAGCUCGCGGCCUAUCAGCUUGUUGGUGGGGUAAUGGCCUACCAAGGCGGCGACGGGUAGCCGGCCUGAGAGGGUGGACGGCCACAUUGGGACUGAGAUACGGCCCAGACUCCUACGGGAGGCAGCAGUGGGGAAUAUUGCACAAUGGGCGGAAGCCUGAUGCAGCGACGCCGCGUGGGGGAUGACGGCCUUCGGGUUGUAAACUCCUUUCGACCGCGAGGAAGCCACCUGGUUGGAAGGGUGGUGACGGUAGUGGUAGAAGAAGCACCGGCUAACUACGUG
rnacentral:rRNA from 1 species